AACUAGCCCUUUAUCACUUUUCCCAUUUUCGUUUCCAAGAUCAGAAACUCUCACCUACUCCUUAGUUUACACCGACAUCACCUCCCUCUCUCAUCAGAAACACCAUCCUGCUACUGUUCGCCCAUAUCUCUUCCCCAAUUCGUAGCGUCUCACAUCCUUAUUUCUGUUCCUCUCUCCCUCUCUCUGUCAUAUAAUCACUCUUAACCAUCACCUAAAUUUCUAUACCUAGUUUCCAAAGUAGGGGUCUGAUGUGCCUACUGGUAGAGUAUGGUUUUGAAAUGUUAAAUCAAUCAGUGGAGAUCUUGAGACAAAUCACAGCUCUGAGCAUGGCAGCAAGAAAUUGAAGAAGGGUUGUCAGAAUUUCUCGUACUCACCAAGUUGUUGUGGCAUGUCGCUGGAGUUGUUUAUAGUUAGAGAAAUUUCCACAAAAAGGUAAGAAUAAGGAGAUCAAAAAGAAACAGGGAGCAAUCAGUUUCAAGUAGCCUUUUUCGGAUGCGCAGCGGAUGAGAAUAUAGAAAUCGGUUAACAGAGCUAUUGCGAAAGGUGGAAAUAUGGACCAAAUGGUGGCUAAGGAGUUGAAGGAAAUUCAAGUGUGGAAAUGACUUUUGCAUGGGCCAAAGUGAAAGUCCAAGAAUCAUUCACGCUUAAAGAAAAGAAACCAAAGCAAUUUACUUUUAUAUACCUAACCCAUGUAUUAUUGCUCAACAGCCAAACUAGCCCUUUGUCACUUUUCCCAUUUUCAUUUCCAAGAUCAGAAACUCUCACUUUCUCCUUAGUUUACACCGACAUCACCUCCCUCUCUCAACAGAAACACCAUCCUGCUACUGUUCGCCCAUAUUUAUUCCCCAAUUCGUACCGUCUCACAUCCUUAUUUAUGUUUCUCUCUCUCUCUCUUCCUCUCUCUCUGUCAUAUAAUCACUCUUAACCAUCACCUAAAUUUCUAGACCUAGUUUCUAAAGUAUGGGUCUCGUGUGCCUACUGGUAGAGUAUGGUUUUGAAAUGUUAAAUCAACCAGUGGAGAUCUUGAGACAAAUCACAGCUCUGAGCAUGGCAGCAAGAAAUUGAAGAAGGGUUGUCAGAAUUUCUUGUAAGUUGUAACUUAUUGUUUGUAUUUUAUUGCUUAAUAGGUUGGAUUAGAAUUGGGGGAAACUUGUAUAAAUAGAAGAGGCAGUUGUGAAUGGAAAGGAAAUCUCGGGUUAGCCGGUGCAAUCUGUUGUUGUUAGGUUUAGGUUUUAUUUCAAUUUUACUUAUGUUCUAAAAAUCUCUGCUAGGGUAGAGAUGAAACCCCUUUAUUAACUAGAAUUUCUCUUGUUUGAUUUCA